UCAAGAUACGCAAUAGAGUAGACCAAACUAAACAGGGAGGGAGGGCAAAACACUCAUCCAAACAAAUGCAUCAUUAUAACCAGCUUUGGUUGCAAUACUAUUAUUGCAUAUGUUGCACAUUGCUGACUCGGCAUGACUUUAAUAAAGUGUAGCCGGAAACGUUUUGAGAAAAAACAACUACAGUUGUGUUGUGUGACUGCAAGUUUUUUCAGAAAUCCUCCCCGUCCCGUCACCACACGUGGUGGUGGACAGCCAAUCACGGCUAAUUUAGGUCCUAACAUGCACGUAUGCUACAAGCUCACACAGACACCCGCUUGGCAAAAAAAAGAAAAACGGCCACUUGGCUUUUGGAACCGAAAUUUGGCACAGAAAGAUAAAUAAUUUUUCGAUACUCAUAGUAUUUAAGUUUUUCGUUCGAUACCAUAAAGGCAUCGAAGUUUCGUUACCCAGCCCUAAUUCCGACGAGGAUUGAACCUGGAACUCCAAGCUAAACUAGCCUGUCAUGACGAGGUUAAAACUCAAAUUCAUCAAGCUGACCAUUCAAAUAGGCUGCACAACACAAUUCAUCACACAAUCUUCACCCUCUAACACUGAACCCAUGCAACUCGGCUACACUCACCUCACUCUCAGAGAAUGCAACCGAUGAGUGUAACUGCACCUGUGCAUGUACUGUGGUCAAUCUGGUCAUCUCAAAUCAACAUGUUUUGUCAAACCCAUUGCAUCUAAUUCCAGAUCUGUGAGUUCCUGCUUCCAAAGCAAUUAUUCCGCCUCAUGUAUCAGAAUACCAGUACAGAUAUCCAUCACUGGUAAAGUUAUAUCCACUUCUGCCUUGCUAGACUCAACGAUGACGUAAAGGUGCAAGUAGGAGAACUCCAUAACAAAUCCAUUCAAUUCUGUGAUCAAUUCCCCAAAUAACCCCAUCAUCCUCGGCUUACCAUGGGUGCGCAGACACAGUCCUCAAAUCUCAUGGAAAGGAGGACAGAUUAUUCAAUAUUAUUCAACCUGUCAUAAACUCUGUCUGACUCAGAUCUCUCCCCUGUCAGUAUACAAAUUCACCUUCAAAGAAACCCCCCCCCAUAAAUAUGAAAUCCCAGGGCUACCACUGAAGCGUUGAUACCAGGUACCACUCAGAAUCUUCCUAUUAUCACAGCCUGAAUCUGAUGCCAUGAAGAGUUGCCAAAAUGAUGCCAAAAUGGAGCUAGCUUAAGGUUUCAUCAGACCCUCAACUUCACCUGCUUCGGCUGGGUUCUUCUUCGUAAAGAAGAAGGACGGAGUUCUCAGACACUGCAUAGACUAUCAUGGCCUAAAUGAUAUCACCAUCAAAUUCCAAUACCCUUUUAUAACUAGUACCUGCCACUUUAGAACAACUCCACCAGGCCAAAUACUUCACCAGGCUUGAUUUGUGUUCUGCAUACAACCCGAUCCAAAUCAGAGAGGAUGAUGAGUAGAAAACUGCAUUCUCUACAUCUACUGGGCACUAUGAAUAUUCUGUUCUGCUGUUCUGCCUUGUGAACAGUCCUUCAGUGUUUCAUAAAUGAUGUUUUGUCUGGGAUAUGCUUGACUGAUGAGUGAUUGUGUAUAUUGAUGACAUCCUGAUAUAUUCAAACUCUCCUGAGGAACACAUACAAGACAUCAGAUCUGUUAUUAAAUGCCUGAUUCAGUACCAACUUUAAGCCAUAAUUGAAAAAAAAUGUGAAUUUCACCAAAUAACCGCAUCGUUCCUAGGAUACAACAUCAGCCAGGAGGGAGUGGCUAUGGAUGACUACAAAGUCAGGGAAGUAGUGAAAUGGUCUCAGCUACGCACAGUAAAGGAGUUGCAACACUUCCUCAGCUUCACUGUUUUCUAUCGGCGGUUCAUUAAGAACUUCAGCUCAGUCUCUACUCCACUGACCACCAUGACAAAAUGCACCAUCUCUCACAUAACAUGGUCCUCCAGUGCCUUGCAGGCUUUUGAGAUUAAGACCUGAUUCACCCCAGCACCCAUUCUCCAUCAUCCCGAUCCAGGUCCUCUGUUCACUGUAGAAGAGAGAGCUUCAAACACAGGAAUCGGGGCAGUUCUCUCUCAAUAUCACAGAUCUCUAGCUAAAAUGUUUCCCCAGGUGAAAAACAAGUACACUUCCAUAACGUACUUAAAGUGCUCUAUUUUCGUGCACUUAUUUUGUACUUAAUAUACUAAAAAUUAUACUUUAGUACUUCUUAAGAUAAUCUAAGGGUACUCAACUGUGCUAUUUUGAGACUGAAUAUGAACUAAAAUGCACUUUUAACAUACAAUCUUUGCAUUUAAAAAGGUAUAUAGCUACCACUUGUAGUACACUUGAGUAUACUAGUGUAUGAAAGAUGGGUUCAAGUACUGUAUACUACAAGUGGUAACUAAACACAUUUUUAAAACACAAAGAGCACAUUUUAGUUCAUUUUUAGUUCAUUUUAGUUCAUUUAUGUCCACAUGAACUCACCUGUCCCCAAACCACUUGGUAACAAACUCAUCCACGUAAAUGCUACUCCCAAGUACAUGGGACUCCCAGGCAUUACAGCUACUCUUCAUCUCCUUGAGAAUCGGUUCUGGUGGCUGUGCCAUUUGUCAACUACUGCACAGAAUGUAAAACAUUCCAAGACUUCCUGAAAACGACAAAAUCCUGUCUUCUCAUUCCUCUACCCAAACUUCGUACUUCCUUCAAAACAGCUGAAGUUCUAUGCAGCUAUGUAUUUUGGUUCUAUGGUCUACCCAAGGACAUUGUAUCUGAUAGGGGACCCAAUUCACUUGCAGAGUCUGGUCUGCAUUCUUCAAACACCUCAACAUAAAUGUAAGUCUCACAUUCGGUCAGACUGAACGCAUAAAACAGGGCCCUCAUUUAUCAAGAGUGCAUAGAAAAGCUUCUAUAUUUUGUCCUACAAAUGAAAUUUUGAAUGUAAGUAAAAAAAAUCUGUAUUUAUCAAACAUGUGCAUGCGGUUCUUAAAUCAGUAAGUAAUCAUUGAUAAAUCCCACAUUUUCUUGCUCGUUCAUGUUCAUGGUCAUUUGCAUUCAGAAACACCUCCAAUGAAAAAUAUAUGGUGACAAUACCUCCCUUUAUUAUCACAUGAAUGUAUAAGCCCUCACCAAAGUCAUGGCAAAGAAAGCAGUACCGAAUGAGAAGCCAUUCUGUGCCAUCAUUAAACAGAUCAGUGUGCUCUUUGCACGGUCUUUGUGCAGCACAUGGUUUGCGUUUGCCAAAUCUUCCAGCAAAGCGAGAUCAACCAUGACCAUAUAGCUACAUUUCAAAUCGACUUCCCAUGCUGUCCUUUAUAGCUUUUCACACUAAUUGUGCAAAUGUUUAGCUUGAAAUAUGAAACUAUUAAUUGAGCAUUUGCAAUUAAAGGACACAGAACAAAUGAGGCGGCACUCUCCUUUUGUGGUAUUGCCAUUCUACCACUAGAUUCUCUGUGUAAGCAUGUUGUGCUUAAAUUUACACACAUUCCUACGCAUAAGUACAAGUUGGUACAGUAGAUCCCACACUUAACGUGAAUUAUAAUCUUAACUCUUAACUCAUUAUGAACACAUCUGUGUGUACGCACUGUUGAUAAAUGAGGGCCCAGGAACUCAAAUGUUUCCUCAGCGCUUAAUGCCAACAGAACCAACCCUUUUUAUCUGGGCCGAGUAUGCGCAAAAUUUACUUCAGAAACCUGCCACUUGUCUAACUCCCUUCAUGUGCAUCUUAGGCUACCAACUUCCCGUUCCCAUGGUCUGCUGAACUGUCAAUGAAGGCCUCAGUCGCUUAAUUGCUUCAGUCCAUUGAGGAGACUUGAAAUCGAGCAAACUCCCAAUUACAGCAAGCUGUGAGGAGACAAGAGGAACAGACCAACCACCACCGUCAUCCCAGCGAUUGACUGAUCGGGUCAGUGGGUUUGGCUAUCCACCAGAGACAUUCGGAUCAGAAUUCCAUGCAAUAAACUCAAUCCUAGGGGUAUGGCCCGGAGGAGUAUGGGGUACACCCCAUAUUUUUGUAUGCAUCUAGAAAAAAUGUCCACUAGACCACAAGGAAGACCCCUGCAUUCCCACAUCAGAAGCCCUAGCAGGGUGAGGGCUCUGUUACAAGUGAGGCUCCUGUACCGCCUUCCUCACACCACCAAAGGAAGCUUUCACCUGAAUACUGACUAAUUAGAUCCGGACUGCAUUUCCCAUAAGCCAUCAUACCUGUGACUGACUGUACACACACCUGCAUCGCACCACACAUGCAUAUAAGCCUUGCACACACGUACACUCACUGCAAGUCUUGAUUUGGUACUGUGGUCAUUUAUGAGUGUUUACCUUCUGGAUUAUAUUUCUGUGUUUGAUCUUAGACGGUUUCCUCACGUUUGAUUCUCUGCUGCCUGCCUCAACCUAUUGCCUGUUCUUUGGGCUGUGACUGUAAGCUGCCUGCUGCUAACCUUUAGCUGUCUCUUUACCAUGUAUCAUUCUGAGCAUAUUGUCAAUAAAGCAGCAGUUGGAUC